rnacentral:rRNA from 1 species
CUCAGUUCGGAUUGGAGUCUGCAACCCGACUCCAUGAAGCUGGAUUCGCUAGUAAUCGCGCAUCAGCCACGGCGCGGUGAAUACGUUCCCGGGCCUUGUACACACCGCCCGUCAAGCCAUGGAAGCCGGGAGUGCCUGAAGUACGCGACCGCAAGGAGCGUCCUAAGGUAAAACCGGUAACUGGGGCUAAGUCGUAACAAGGUACC